UACAGAGAUCCCAAGCGUUGUUCGGAUUCACUGGGCGUAAAGGGUGCGUAGGUGGUCGGGUAAGUCUGAUGUGAAAUCUCCGAGCUUAACUCGGAAAUGGCAUUGGAUACUAUUCGGCUAGAGGGUUUGAGGGGGGACUGGAAUACUUGGUGUAGCAGUGAAAUGCGUAGAUAUCAAGUGGAACACCAGUGGCGAAGGCGAGUCCCUGGAAAACUCCUGACACUGAGGCACGAAAGCUAGGGGAGCAAACAGG
rnacentral:rRNA from 1 species